GAACGCUGGCGGUAGGCCUAACACCUGCAAGUCGAACGGCAGCACAGUAAGAGCUUGCUCUUACGGGUGGCGAGUGGCGGACGGGUGAGGAAUACAUCGGAAUCUACUUUUUCGUGGGGGAUAACGUAGGGAAACUUACGCUAAUACCGCAUACGACCUACGGGUGAAAGCAGGGGAUCUUCGGACCUUGCGCGAUUGAAUGAGCCGAUGUCGGAUUAGCUAGUUGGCGGGGUAAAGGCCCACCAAGGCGACGAUCCGUAGCUGGUCUGAGAGGAUGAUCAGCCACACUGGAACUGAGACACGGUCCAGACUCCUACGGGAGGCAGCAGUGGGGAAUAUUGGACAAUGGGCGCAAGCCUGAUCCAGCCAUACCGCGUGGGUGAAGAAGGCCUUCGGGUUGUAAAGCCCUUUUGUUGGGAAAGAAAAGCAGCAGGUUAAUACCCCGCUGUUCUGACGGUACCCAAAGAAUAAGCACCGGCUAACUUCGUG
rnacentral:rRNA from 1 species